rnacentral:rRNA from 1 species
UACAGAAGUCUCAAGCGUUGUUCGGAUUCACUGGGCGUAAAGGGUGCGCAGGCGGCCAUGUGUGUGAGGCGUGAAAGCCCGGGGCUUAACCCCGGAAUUGCACCUCAAACUACAUGGCUAGAGCAUUGGAGAGGGUAGCAGAAUUCAUGGUGUAGCAGUGAAAUGCGUAGAUAUCAUGAGGAAUACCAGAGGCGAAGGCGGCUACCUGGACAAUUGCUGACGCUCAGGCACGAAAGCGUGGGGAGCAAAAGGG